ensembl:lncRNA
UCCCCCAGGUGGAGGUGGAUUCAGGGGUGGAGUCUGUCCAGCUGCCCUUCAACACCACACUUCACCUGCCUGAAGACGCUAAAGUGGAGUGGAUGGACAAUUACACGAUCCUCAGUAUACCACACAACAGGAAGGUCCACGUGUAUGAGAACGGCUCUGACCAGCCUGAAGAACAGCACCAGGUUUACAGAGACCGAACGAAGAUGAAUGAAGACCUGCUGAAAACUGGAGACCUCAGUCUGACCCUGAAACACCCCACAGAGAGAGACAGUGGGAGAUAUGAAUGUGAUGUGAGGAGGAACGGACGGGUUAGAUUCAAAACAGUGCAGCUCAACGUCAAAGG